AUUAAAAGACUCAUUAGGGAAUAUCCCAAAUUUCAUCUUCUUCACCAUCAUCAUCUAUUUCUAUUUUUCUCUCUAUGUAACAAUGGCAGGUUUCUAUUUAGUUCUGGUUUUGGCUAUUUUACCUGUGGGGUUUGGGCAGCAGCAAGAGUGCUAUGAAAUACACCCAGAAAUCUUGUGUGUGAGAGGCAGUACUGAUGACUGCUCUGCUUUCUGCAAAUUAAAAUUUGGGGAAAAUACCACUGUUCAGUGUAUUGAAAAUGUUGGAUUUGUUGGCCCUUUUUGUGUCUGUAAUGACUGUCCCAGGCCUUAGAAGCAACAAUUUUUUUUUUAAAUAAUAUUUUAUGCUGAGAUGAAUCAAAUCAUAUUUUGAAUAGACUGUA